GGGUUGUGAGGUUAAGCGACUAAGCGUACACGGUGGAUGCCCUGGCAGUCAGAGGCGAUGAAGGACGUGCUAAUCUGCGAAAAGCGUCGGUAAGGUGAUAUGAACCGUUAUAGCCGGCGAUGUCCGAAUGGGGAAACCCAGUGCAAUUCGUUGCACUAUCGUUAACUGAAUACAUAGGUUAACGAGGCGAACCGGGGGAACUGAAACAUCUAAGUACCCCGAGGAAAAGAAAUCAACCGAGAUUCCCCCAGUAGCGGCGAGCGAACGGGGAGCAGCCCGGAGUCUGAAUCAGCUUGUGUGUUAGUGGAAGCGUCUGGAAAGUCGCAGGGUACAGGGUGAUACUCCCGUACACUAAAACGCACAGGUUGUGAACUCGAAGAGUAGGGCGGGACACGUGGUAUCCUGUCUGAAUAUGGGGGGACCAUCCUCCAAGGCUAAAUACUCCUGACUGACCGAUAGUGAACCAGUACCGUGAGGGAAAGGCGAAAAGAACCCCGGCGAGGGGAGUGAAAAAGAACCUGAAACCGUGUACGUACAAGCAGUAGGAGCCCACUAGUUGGGUGACUGCGUACCUUUUGUAUAAUGGGUCAGCGACUUAUAUUCUGUAGCAAGGUUAACCGUAUAGGGGAGCCGCAGGGAAACCGAGUCUUAACUGGGCGUUAAGUUGCAGGGUAUAGACCCGAAACCCGGUGAUCUAGCCAUGGGCAGGUUGAAGGUUGGGUAACACUAACUGGAGGACCGAACCGACUAAUGUUGAAAAAUUAGCGGAUGACUUGUGGCUGGGGGUGAAAGGCCAAUCAAACCGGGAGAUAGCUGGUUCUCCCCGAAAGCUAUUUAGGUAGCGCCUCGUGAACUCAUCUUCGGGGGUAGAGCACUGUUUCGGCUAGGGGGUCAUCCCGACUUACCAACCCGAUGCAAACUACGAAUACCGAAGAAUGUUAUCACGGGAGACACACGGCGGGUGCUAACGUCCGUCGUGAAGAGGGAAACAACCCAGACCGCCAGCUAAGGUCCCAAAGUCAUGGUUAAGUGGGAAACGAUGUGGGAAGGCCCAGACAGCCAGGAUGUUGGCUUAGAAGCAGCCAUCAUUUAAAGAAAGCGUAAUAGCUCACUGGUCGAGUCGGCCUGCGCGGAAGAUGUAACGGGGCUAAACCAUGCACCGAAGCUGCGGCAGCGACGCUUAUGCGUUGUUGGGUAGGGGAGCGUUCUGUAAGCCGUUGAAGGUGGCCUGUGAGGGUUGCUGGAGGUAUCAGAAGUGCGAAUGCUGACAUAAGUAACGAUAAUGCGGGUGAAAAACCCGCACGCCGGAAGACCAAGGGUUCCUGUCCAACGUUAAUCGGGGCAGGGUGAGUCGACCCCUAAGGCGAGGCCGAAAGGCGUAGUCGAUGGGAAACAGGUUAAUAUUCCUGUACUCGGUGUUACUGCGAAGGGGGGACGGAGAAGGCUAUGUUGGCCGGGCGACGGUUGUCCCGGUUUAAGCAUGUAGGCGGAUGUUCCAGGUAAAUCCGGAACGUUACUAACGCUGAGGUGUGAUGACGAGGCACUACGGUGCUGAAGUGACAAAUGCCCUGCUUCCAGGAAAAGCCUCUAAGCAUCAGGUAACAUCAAAUCGUACCCCAAACCGACACAGGUGGUCAGGUAGAGAAUACCAAGGCGCUUGAGAGAACUCGGGUGAAGGAACUAGGCAAAAUGGUGCCGUAACUUCGGGAGAAGGCACGCUGAUGGUAGGUGAAGUGACUUGCUCAUGGAGCUGAAAUCAGUCGAAGAUACCAGCUGGCUGCAACUGUUUAUUAAAAACACAGCACUGUGCAAACACGAAAGUGGACGUAUACGGUGUGACGCCUGCCCGGUGCCGGAAGGUUAAUUGAUGGGGUUAUCCGUAAGGAGAAGCUCUUGAUCGAAGCCCCGGUAAACGGCGGCCGUAACUAUAACGGUCCUAAGGUAGCGAAAUUCCUUGUCGGGUAAGUUCCGACCUGCACGAAUGGCGUAAUGAUGGCCAGGCUGUCUCCACCCGAGACUCAGUGAAAUUGAACUCGCUGUGAAGAUGCAGUGUACCCGCGGCAAGACGGAAAGACCCCGUGAACCUUUACUAUAGCUUGACACUGAACACUGGUCCUUGAUGUGUAGGAUAGGUGGGAGGCUUUGAAGUGUGGACGCCAGUCUGCAUGGAGCCAUCCUUGAAAUACCACCCUUUAAUGGCUGGUGUUCUAACGUGGGCCCCUAAUCGGGGUUGCGGACAGUGUCUGGUGGGUAGUUUGACUGGGGCGGUCUCCUCCUAAAGAGUAACGGAGGAGCACGAAGGUCAGCUAAUCCUGGUCGGACAUCAGGAGGUUAGUGCAAUGGCAUAAGCUGGCUUGACUGCGAGCGUGACGGCGCGAGCAGGUGCGAAAGCAGGUCAUAGUGAUCCGGUGGUUCUGAAUGGAAGGGCCAUCGCUCAACGGAUAAAAGGUACUCCGGGGAUAACAGGCUGAUACCGCCCAAGAGUUCAUAUCGACGGCGGUGUUUGGCACCUCGAUGUCGGCUCAUCACAUCCUGGGGCUGAAGUAGGUCCCAAGGGUAUGGCUGUUCGCCAUUUAAAGUGGUACGCGAGCUGGGUUUAGAACGUCGUGAGACAGUUCGGUCCCUAUCUGCCGUGGGCGCUGGAGAAUUGAGGGGGGCUGCUCCUAGUACGAGAGGACCGGAGUGGACGCAUCACUGGUGUUCGGGUUGUCAUGCCAAUGGCAUUGCCCGGUAGCUAAAUGCGGAAGAGAUAAGUGCUGAAAGCAUCUAAGCACGAAACUUGCCCCGAGAUGAGUUCUCCCUGACUCCUUGAGAGUCCUGAAGGAACGUUGAAGACGACGACGUUGAUAGGCCGGGUGUGUAAGCGCAGCGAUGCGUUGAGCUAACCGGUACUAAUGAACCGUGAGGCUUAACCUUACAACGCCGAAG
rnacentral:rRNA from 1 species